CCCUAACAAAGCACAGAUGGCUUAAGAAGUGGAAGCACAGCUGGCUAAGGGGGACACUCCUCUCAAAGUUAAAUCUCCACUGAAUAAAAUCCCAGAAGCAUUUUCCAGCCUGUUACAAAUUCACCAACUUCAGCUAUCAUCCAAACCCUGGCCUCAGAAAAGGAGAAAGAUUAACAACAUAGCCUCCAGAUUCAGACUUCCCGGGUUUGAAUUCUAGCACUGGCAUUUACUAGCUGUGCAUCCUUGGGCAAGUUGCUUAACCUUUCUGUGAUUCCAUUUCCUCAUUCAGAAAACAGGGAUAAUUAUAUCCCCCUAACUCACUGGGUUAUUACGAAGGUUAUGUGAGUUAGUGGUAAAACGUUUAAUAGUGCCAGGCAUAUGGCAAGUGUCUGUCAAAUAAGGAUCUUUGUGUUCACAGACCCUGAUCUACCUAUCAAAAUGAAAAUAGAAUGAGUAUGACAUGGUGUGUUCUUAAUGAUCCAUUUCUAGGUCCUUGUGAUCACCAAUUCCUCUGCUACCCAAAAACAAUCCCUUGGAUAAUAUGCCUCAAAACAUUUGGGCUCACAGGUCUAUCAUAUGCAGAAUAAACCUAUUACAUAUCAACAAUUUCAUAGGGUUCAGCCUAAUGCUUCCACUUUUUUGAGAGCUGGAGUUUUUGACCCAUUUUAGCAUUCUCUCUUUUUUAUACUCUCUUUCCCCAUGUCAACAGAGAAAGGAAGGUGAGUUCCCAAAAGAACACAAGAGAGCCAUCCUUUUCAGAGACCUUGAGAAAAAGAAAGAUCUUUGAGACAUAUGGUAUCUACAAUCUAAAUGAUAUGUAACUUUCCUAUUAUACAAAAAAUAUAAAACCCAAGGUCACUCUCUGUUGACCUUGAAGAAGACAGAGGCUGGACAAGCUAACAGCCAGACAAGUAUGGAUCCCCUUCAGAAGAUUAUGUGAGGGCCAGGGCAAACUCUUGCACUCAGCUUCUGCCCUUCAAUCUUCCCCAAAUCACCUGAGAGUCUGACGUCAGCAUCUUGGACUGCCAAAGCUAUAGUUCUGUUUUUGUUUCAUUGACACAGGAAGAGGAGUUUGGGAAGGCUGAUUUUGACUUAAGGACACUGAAUACAAUCUUUUCUGGGUGUUUACAAAGUGUGUUUACCAAGCAGCCACUCUCCAAACCCUAGCAACUGCUUAAAACAAGAGAGCUGCUGAUUUGUGGAGUGUUUUCUUUUCAAAAAAUAUCGCCGUAAAUGUUGGAUUUAGAGACAUUCUUUCCUUUUAAAAAUAACUUGUCAAGGGGACAAAAGUAUUUAAGAGGCUUUCUUCUCAGCUCAGAAAGCCAUAGGGAGGAGGAAUGGUUUGUUUUGGAGUUUUUUGGGUUUUUUUGGGGGGGGGGAUUUUUUAUUUUGCAUGAGGUUAGAGCUAGGAGUAGGAGAAGUAGGAGGGGCAGUUGGAAAGCAGGUGGGAUGUUGGUUAGCUCUUUGCCUUCGGAAUCCCAAACCCCUUCUCUGAUUGCUCCUUCCCUCACCUUUUUCUCUCAAAAACCCACCAGGAUCUAGGAGAAAACAAGAUUGAGCUCUACUUUGCCCCCUCCCUUUCCCUUUCCCCCUCCCCUGCAGUCCCACCCCAGCGCUCCCCACCUACCUCUCAUAUCAGGUGUCAACUUCUUCUUUCUCUCCACAGACGCCACAGUGUGUCCCCAAGUGCACCACUGAUGGUAUACAAGAUUUUGGAGGUUGACAUACAAAUAAGCUUUAAAAAAAUUUUUAGCAGUACGUAUUUUUUAGAGUACCAAAAAACACAGAGAUAGAUAGACAGACUAUAACAGAUAGAUAGAUAGAUAGAUAUGAUUGACAGAUAGAUAAUAGAUAUGAAUGACAGAUAUAGGUAGAUAAUGAUCGACAGAUGAUUGAUAGAUAUGAUUGACAGAGAGAUGAUUAAUAGAUGAUAGAUAUGAAUGACAGAUAGAUAAUAGGUAGAUAAUGAUUGACAGAUAGAUGAUUGAUAGAUAUGAUUGACAGAUAGAUUAAUGAUUGACUGAUAGGGCGAGCCAGGACCUCAAACCCAUGCUUUCACAGAUAUUACCCCUUUCCUUUUUAAGCACAUUUUACACAACACAUGAUCAUUCAACCAAUUAUUGGGUUGUUAUGGUCCUACUAAGUGCCAGGCACCAUUUAUCGUUCUUAGGAACAUCAGUAAACAAAACAGUCACCAGACACUGAUCUCACAGAGCUUAUAUGCUGGCAGGCAAAAGCAGGAAAUAAGCAAGAAGUGAAUAAUAAUCUGAUAAAUUCUAAAGUGAUUAGUGCUAUAAGAAAAGAAAUAAAGAAAAAAACAAGAAAAGAAAUAUUAAAGAAAAAUAAGGCAUGUCAGCAGUGCCCAGGGAGGGGGAAGGGGGUAGGUUCCCAAAUUUAAUGGGGUAGUCAAAAUAAGCCUCAUGAAGGAGGUGAGAUUUCAGCAAGAACUUGAAGGAGGUGAGUAAGUUCACUACAGGUUUAUCUGGGGGAAGAGUGGUUCAGGCAGAGGGAAGAGCUUCAGCAAAUUCCCUAAGCAAGGGCCAUAACCAGCCUCUUCCAGAAACAGUAAGGUGGCCAGUGUGGCUGGAACAGAGUGAGCAAGGCAAGAAAGUAGAGGGAGAGAAAAUCAGAGGAGACAGAUUCUGAUUCUGAUCACUUAUUUUAAAUGUAAUUAAAACUAAAUGAAAUUUAAAAUUCAGAUUCUCAGCUGCAUGAGCCAUGUUUCAAGGGUUUAAUAGCCACUUGUGGCUAGUGGCUACCUUAUUGGGUAGCACAGAUAAGAAAAUUUCUCUCAUCACAGAAAGUUCUAUCAGAUGACACUGACCUUGAGUGUUUUGGCUCCUUUUUUGGCUUGGUUAACUUUUAUUCAGACUUUAACAGCUCAAACAUCACUUCCUCCAGGAAGGCUUUUCUGACCACUCUUCCUGUACAUCAGCUCCACUGUCCUAUGCAUGCUCUCAGAGAGCCAGGUGGCUUUCCUUCGUAUCAGUUAUCUCUUUGUGAAAUCGUACACUAAUUGGCAGUGCUUGAUGGCUUGUACCUGAAGUCCCAGCUACUCAGGAGACUGAAGUGGGAGGAUCACUUGAGUUCAGGAGCUUGAGGCUACAGUGAACUAUGGUCACUGCACUCCAGCCUGGAUGACAGAGUGAGACUCCAUUGAAGGAGGAGGAGGAGGAGAAGAAGAAGGAAGAAAUUGUAUGCUCAUUAGUACAAUAUCUUACUGAUGUCUCUCUCUCCUAAUACAUUUUAAACUCCGUUGUUUCUGUUUUGGUUCAUUGUUAUAUUGCCAGCACCUAGCACAGGGCCUGACGUAUGAAGGACAAAUAAUUUGUUCAACGAUCCAAUGAAUGGUUUUAGGUGGUAGGACUAGAAGCAGGGUAUUCACUAAAAAAAAGGUUAUAGCACUGUGGAGAACUGUGAUUCAGUAGGCUCCUGGGACCCAAAAUUUUGCUGGGUGAGAGCAGCUCCAGAGGCUGGAGUCCCUACUGCACCAAACUUGGAUUCAGCUCAGGACCCUUAAUCAUUUUUGCACCCCCUUCUCACCAAGGCCCCCACAUGCUGUCCCUCCAGGAUAACAACAGCAUAGCAUCUGUCUUUACCAGAGAAGCCAAGUCUCAGAUAUUCACAUAAUGUCUCUUCAUUCCUUCAGUCCUGUGCUUGCAGCAGCAGCAGCGGCAGCAUUGAAAUGCUUCCUUCUGCUGCUCGCGAAUCCGAGGAGUGGGGACCGACCUUGGCACAUUUGCUGGGAUGCCUGGCUAGGCAAGGAGAGUGCCG
rnacentral:lncRNA from 10 species